ACUCUAGCCUGUUUCACAAAGAGGGGUAACUUAAACUCUGGGUCAGUUACCGCAGUAACAGACUCUAUGACUCUAACCUGGUCACCAGCAGGUUUAUCUGAGAAAACCUCCAGUUUCUCUCUGUCUCCGCCCUCUUUCAGCCACACGCUGUUUCAUUUCCUCAUUCAUUCAGUCAGUAAGCGAGCGAGUUUUGGCGUAGAACAGCUUUUAUUAACGAUCCAGUGGAUAAAGGAGCAGCAUUACUGCACAGAUCAUUAAAUAUUCGUCGGUAGAUUGUUAUCAGACCGAGCAUAAAUGUUCUCGCAUUUCCGGACAAUUAUCGGUUUGAGCGGUACCGUUUCGUAAUCGUUUUAAGUCCAUAAUCUACAUAAACAACCUUAUCCGUCCUUACAUUUACAUUACCAACCAGUCAUGCUCUCACAUCCAGCAGAUAUUGUGUGUUGCGCUGCGGUUCUUUGCAAAUGAAAGUUUUUAUAUGAUGUCAGAGAUGCAGAGUAAGACAACUGUAUGGAGGACAGUCAGAAAAGUUUUUCUGGCCCUGAAACGGCUUUUACCAUCAUUGUGGACAUAAACCUGUCAGAACAUCAAGGAGGAUCCACAGGAUUGCAGGAUUUCCCAGUGUGAUUGGCUGCAUAGAUGCACACACAUCCCCAUCACAGCUCCCUCACAUCAUGAACAGGAAGUCCAUUCACAGCAUAAAUGUGCAGAUCAUAUGUGAUGCUGCAUACAUCAUUUCUAAUGUGGAGGCCACGUGGUCUGGGUCUGUUCAUGACUCCAGGAUUUAUGGAGAGUCUAACCUGAGCAACAGACUGCAGCGUGGUCAGCAGCAUAAAGAUUUUCACAAUAGAAUUCUCUUGUCUCCCUCCUUUAAUAUGCUCUGAUGUAUCCACUAUACAUUACAGGAGAGUUUGAUGGCCUUCUGCUGGGUGACAGGGGU